GCUCUCUUGGCAAGGUUGGGAACUCUUGGUGGGAAUUCGGCAUUUGUGGCUUGGCGAAUAGAGAAGCAAUUGUGGACUUUUCUAAAGCAAAGUUCAGGACAUGGACAUGGAAACAGAUAAAGAAGAGGAGCAUACCUUUUGAAUUAGUUUCCUGAAGAAAUAUAACCGACAAUCAGUGAGAAAACUUGGAUCAACAGAAAGUUGUACGACUACUCAUGUCCUGAAUACAAAUAAAGGGUAAGCAAAUUUAAAAUAUUAAUGAUUA
rnacentral:lncRNA from 1 species